UCACACUUGUCGGAAAGUUUUCUCCAUUAUUUUUGUGUUGCCGACAGAUUUUGAAACAUACGUCGCAGUAAUAGUUACAGGAAGCAGUUGUACUGUAAGAGAGCGAAGUUGUUUUUCGGAGAAAAUAAAUUAUUGCUGAAUCUGCUCGUAAUUUGCAUAGCUUCUUUCUCGCAUUCUCAAUUUCUUUCUAUCGAUCAAAUUCGAUUUCGACCCAAACGAGAAGUUUUUCAAUGUGCGUGUUGUUGCAGCGAAGGUAAUUAAUCGAUUGCUUAAUUGAUAUCUGAAGCUGCUUCAUGCCACCAAGUUACGAUGGAUAAAGUAGGGCGUGGUUUCAAGAGCUUCAGAACAUUAUUGGUUGUGGCUUCUAUAACCCUCCCUAUUUUAAUCACAUUUACUCUCAUACACCAGAACUCAGUUUUCGAUCUCGUCCAUGGAUUUAACGUUUUGGAUGCAAGAGCUCACAAUGCUUCUAAUAUUGUCUUGAAACAAGGAACUCAAAAUGUUACCACUAAAAAUGCGUCAAUACAAGGGGUUCAAAAUGCUACAGUGAAAACUGGGGGAGAAAAGGAUCAUAAUAUUAUUCCAGACGCAGCUCCUAUUGAUAAGGUGUUGGGAAACAAAAAUCAGAAUGCUAAGCCUGGGAUCUUAGAAGAACCAGCUCAGACACUACCUCUCUUAGAUAUUGGUCCAAAGAAUAGUUCAUUUGAAGAUGGAGAGAAUGUUGUGUCCCUGUCUAGUACCACCAUUUCUAAAGACAAACUCCUUGAUGGACUUCUGGUUUCAUCAUUUGAUGAAGCAUCAUGCUUUAGUAGAUAUCGAUCUUACUUAUACCGCAAAACUUCCCCUCACAAACCUUCUAAGUAUCUUAUUUCCAAACUACGAAAUUAUGAACAUCUUCAUCGAAGUUGUGGACCUUCUACCAAAUUCUACAACAAAAUCAUGAGAAAGGGUACAAAAUUUAACAAAAUUGAUGUUAGUACGAAGUGCAAAUAUCUUGUCUGGACAGCUGCCAAUGGAUUAGGGAACAGGAUAGUAACCUUGGUUGCAGCAUUUCUUUAUGCUAUUCUUACCGAUCGUGUACUGCUUGUCAAAUUUGGGGCCGAUAUGUCUGGUCUCUUUUGUGAGCCAUUUCCUGAUUCCUCAUGGUUGUUGUCCAGGAGUUUUCCUUAUUGGAAAGAUCAGAAACAUAUUGAAACAUAUGAAAACAUAUUAAAUAAUUUCAAGGUAAACAGUUCACAGGUACUUUUGCCACCAUUUCUUAUUCUUAAUCUACAGCACACCCAUGAUCGUCACAAUAAUUUUUUUCAUUGUGAUGGAAGUCAAGAUCUUCUUCGAAAAAUUUCCGUACUAAUUUUACGGUCAGAUCAAUACUUUGUCCCUUCUCUUUUUAUGAUUCCAUCGUUUAGAGAAGAACUAAGUAAAAUGUUCCCCCAGAAGGACACUGUUUUUCACCACCUUGGACGUUACCUUCUUCACCCAUCAAAUGAAGCAUGGGAAAUAAUUAGAAAAUUCUAUGAGGCACAUCUUGCCAGGGCAAAUGAGAGGAUAGGUGUGCAGAUUAGACUUUUUAAUACUCAUCGACCACCACAUCAAACUGUUAUUAAUGAAAUAGUAUCCUGCACCCUUCAGCAUAAGUUGCUGCCUGAUUUCAACGCACAAAAGUCAGUGGUUUCUCCUUUGAAGAAGACCUCAAAAGCUGUUUUAGUAGCAUCUUUGUUCUCAGAAUACGGUGAGAAGUUGAAGACUAUGUAUCAGACAAAUAAAACUGUGACCAGGGAAGUAAUAAGAGUUUAUCAGCCCAGUCAUGAAGAGCGUCAAAAGUCAAAUGAUGACAUGCACAACAUUAAGGCAUGGACAGAAAUAUAUUUGCUGAGUUUGUGUGAUGCGUUGGUUACAAGUCCUAAGUCUACUUUUGGUUAUGUUGCCCAUAGUCUUGGAGGUCUGAAGCCAUGGAUUUUGAAGAGGGCAUAUAAUGAAACCAUCCCAGAUCCACCUUGUCGACAUGCCAAGUCCAUGGAGCCUUGUUUCCAUUAUCCACCCAAAUAUGACUGUAGGGACAACAGCACAGUUGAUUUUACUUCCCUUUUUCAUUAUAUGAAGCAUUGUGAAGAUGUAUCUGGUGGACUGAAGCUGGUUAAUGGUAAUCACUAGGUAACAAACUUGAUGAGCACUGGGUUAUUUACUUUGCCAACUUUACAAUAUUCCCUAUUUGCUCUAAUAUAUUACUACUUUGGACAGUUUUUGAGGUUGUCAAGAACAGAGAGAAAGAGCCCUUGGUUUUGUAAUUUCGUUCUCACUUUUCACUAUUUCCAGUCAUCCAGGGAUCCUAUUUUUAGAUCUCUAGGAUAGAGGCUAAAGAUUUUGUUAUGGAAAAAAACUUUGCUUCCUGUGUCUCAUAGGUAUAAUUGGUGUUGUUCUCUCUGUUGUGCGCUAUUUGCAAGACGAAUUAAAGUGGAGCAUUUGUGUAGCCUCAAUGAAAUUGUGGUGUUGUGCAUCACGCGACUGAAAUUUUCUCUAGUGCCAGUUAUAGCAAAUGGACAGCAUCUGAUUUAGAUUCCUGUUAUCAAUGUAGCCUUGUUCUGCGGAAGGGUUGUCUCUGAUCAAACCGGUUUCACCAUAUUGAAUGAGUGGUAUUGGAGGGAUGUGAUGGUGUUGGUUUUCCAUACUGAGAAAGGCCAUUGUAGAUAUAAUUCAAUCUGGGAAGUAUGGUUUGUCAACAGAAACCCGCACAAGGUAUAUGCAUUAUUCAAUAUCGUUAUGGUAAACUUCGAUAGUUGAUUGCAGGAAUUCUGAAGCUCCCUGCCAAUUUUUCUGCCGAACUAUCUCGAGGAAUGUAAUAAUUAGUUUAGCUAGAAUGUUUCUUGCAAACAAAUCCUUUUCCUACUUGUUUUAAUUGUAUUUAUUUCAUAUCUUAUUAUUUAAUUGUAAAUUUAGGAUUUUUGUUGUAUUUAAUCAAUCAAAUUUAGUUGUUAUAUGCAUAAA